AUGACUAGGCAUAACCUUAGGAAGAGACACAUCAUCAAACCCCUUGAUUGUGUUUAAUGCUUGGAACAAGAGUCUUGUUCUCACCUAUUUUUUGAAUGUAUAGUUGCUAAAAAUCUCUGGGCCCACAUUGAGGAAUAUUUCUCUAGUCAGAUUGGCUCAUCCUUCGAAUCUGUCGCCAGAUUCUGGCUUGCUACCAAAAAGUGCUCAGUUUUAAACACUGUUAGCUCAGCUAUCCUUUGGUGCCUCUGGAAAUGUAGAAAUGCUAUGAUUUUUAGUAACACCUCCUGGAUUUCCAUUCCGCAGGUCUUGAGGUUGAUCAGGAACAUGGUGAGGAACUGGGCGAUUCUCUCCUCCGGAUCGGACAAGGAUAAGUUGAUGAGCUUCAUGGAAACCCUAACAAGAUCCCUCCAAAACCAUUGGCGAUCACUUGUGGCUGAACAAGGCUCGACCUGCUCUGGGGCUGGACCCGUGGGCUCGUCUCAAGAUCUCUGA
rnacentral:rRNA from 1 species